rnacentral:rRNA from 1 species
AGCGAACGCUGGCGGCAGGCCUAACACAUGCAAGUCGAACGGAUCCUUCGGGAUUAGUGGCGGACGGGUGAGUAACACGUGGGAACGUGCCCUUUGGUUCGGAACAACUCAGGGAAACUUGAGCUAAUACCGGAUGUGCCCUUCGGGGGAAAGAUUUAUCGCCAUUGGAGCGGCCCGCGUCUGAUUAGCUAGUUGGUGAGGUAACGGCCCACCAAGGCGACGAUCAGUAGCUGGUCUGAGAGGAUGAUCAGCCACACUGGGACUGAGACACGGCCCAGACUCCUACGGGAGGCAGCAGUGGGGAAUCUUGCGCAAUGGGCGAAAGCCUGACGCAGCCAUGCCGCGUGAAUGAUGAAGGUCUUGGGAUUGUAAAAUUCUUUCAGCGGGGACGAUAAUGACGGUACCCGCAGAAGAAGCUCCGGCUAACUUCGUG